UGGUCAAUGGCCUAACGGCUGAACCAGCAACUUGGGGGAAUGUAUUUCGAUUAUGUCGUAUAAAGUUCUAGAUAGAUUGAUGAUAAUGACAAUUUUCUAUCUAUAUGUCUUGACCAAAUCUUGUGCCAGCAGUCGCGGCAAGACAAGAGAGACUAGUGUUAUUCAUCUUUAUUAGGUUUAAAGGGUACCUAGACUGUAAAUUUAGCCCCUAAAGGGUACGUAUUUGCUAGAGUUAUUUGUGAGAGGAAUAUAGCAGAACUAUUGGUGUAAAGAUGAAAUUUUUUAAUACCAAUAUAACGGGUAACGGCGAAGGCAACCCUUUAUGUGAUAACUGACGUUGAGGGACGAAGGCUCAGGGAGCGAAGAGGAUUAGAUACCCCCGUAGUCUGGGCAGACAAUUAUGAGUGUCAUAGACUUAAGGCCAACUAGUAAAACUAAAUUGCUUUUUUUUUGCUAGUCGGUGGGGUCUAUAAAUGAAAAUGUAAGCACUCCACCUCAAGAGUAAUGUGGCAACGCAGGAACUGAAAUCAUUAGACCGUUUCUGAAACCAGUAGUGAAGUAUGUUAUUUAAUUCGAUGAUCCUCGAAAAACCUUACCAUAAUUUGUAUGUCAAUCUUAUAUUGAUACAAGCGUUGCAUGGCUGUCUUCAGUUAAUGUCGUGAGAUUUGGUUAGUUCCAUUAAAUUAACGUAAACCCUUGCUUUAUUUAGAUUUAUAAAGCAGCUCGCCGCGACAAUUGGGUGUGA
rnacentral:rRNA from 1 species